GAGCAAUGAUGUGAAAUUACUGAACCUGAAGUGUAUUUAAAAAAUAUACUUUUCAUGAUGGUUUCUACACUUGAACUGAGCUCA
rnacentral:snoRNA from 1 species